CGGCUCGCCACUGACAACACUGUAAUCAAAGAUGAUUCUAUGAUGAAUACAUUAUUAUUAAAAGAUGAGCUCAACGUUUUUAUUGGUGAAUCAAAUUAGAAUGAUUUAAUCAUACAGUGUUUUACAGUGGUGAAGUCAGCUUUAUAUUAAAGAUUCAGACUUUACUCUUCAAACCUCUUCAACGGAACAUGCAAGGUUGACUAGGCUACCGGGGGCGGCAGGUAUCCUAGUGGUUAGAGUGUUGGGUCAGUAACCAGCAGGUAUCCUAGUGGUUAGAGUGUUGGGUCAGUAACCAGCAGGUAUCCUAGUGGUAAGAGUGUUGGGUCAGUAACCAGCAGGUAUCCUAGUGGUUAGAGUGUUGGGUCAGUAACCAGCAGGUAUCCUAGUGGUAAGAGUGUUGGGUCAGUAACCAGCAGGUAUCCUAGUGGUUAGAGUGUUGGGUCAGUAACCAGCAGGUAUCCUAGUGGUUAGAGUGUUG
ensembl:lncRNA